rnacentral:lncRNA from 10 species
CCAGCCUGGGCAACAGAGUGAGAUUCCAUCUCAAAAAGAAGAAGAACCUCCCUCAUAAUUAAUAGCUGCAUCCCCACAACCAUCUCACCCCUUCCUAUACAGGCCUUCAAUCCACAGGGAUUUGUGUUUGGGUUAUCAUGGUUCCCAAGAUUUGGUAUUUGUUCAUUGAUUCAAGUUUUCACUUUUCAUUCUAGUGGUCAGCAUGUUAAGAAUGGUCUAAUUGGGAAAAAAAAUUACCUGAGAAAAUAAAGUCUGUGGAAUAUUCACCAAAGAUAAAUUACUGAGCUAACCAGCAUGAAAUCUGCAGCAUACACUCAGCAAAUGAAGACAGAUAUGCUGCGAUAGUUGAAAGUUGCUCAAGUGCUGUCCUUCUCCAGGGCUCUGUCAUGUGAAGUCUGCUAACGAGAAAACAGAAUUUGAACAGAGCGUGGGACCCUGACCUGGUUGUGUACUUUGCGGGCCACUUCCACCAGUCUAUUUUCUAUGGAUAACAAAACUAGGCAAUGUUGAGUAAACUCCCCGAUGAGCAUUUUCUCUUUCUCAGUCUCCUGGAAACUUUCCGAAUGGAUUAAAAUAAAAGUAACAUCAUGUGUGAUCAUGUGAUCCUGCAGACAGACGAGGCAGUAAGCAGAGAUCAUCUAAUGGAUCUAAAGUCCUGUAUAAAAAUGAAUCCAUUCAAUGUGGACACUCAAUUCCUAAUUAAAAAUGCAGUGUAUAGUUUACUCUUUUAUUUAUACAACCCCAAAGUGCUAUAAAAUCACAGAUAUUUUACAUAUUUAUUAUGUUCAUCCUCUUCAAUGAGGUCACUUAGAAACCCAGCUCUAGCUAACUUCUAACUCAUUCUGUCUCCCUCAUUCUAUCUGCUCCUGGUACCACCAGCCCAGCAAAAUUAAAUGGAUUUUAAGACAUAAAAUCAACAGAUGAAGACAUAGUUUCUGCUCACGUCAUGCCCAGGAAAUGCAGGUAGAUGGGGUUAGGUAUAUGGGAAGGGAUUUAAUGAGCAAUGGGACCAUUGAGACUGGGAAGGAGAGACAAGGGACACUCUUUUAAGUGAUGAAACAAAGAACACAUACCAAAACCAUAAAUGGGCUCAGCUCACAACCAUGUACACUGUGUAUGAGUGCAUAGACUUACAUACACAUCUCCGUAAGGCAUAUCACCCACUUGCCACCCACUUUGAGACUUCCGCAGGGUGAGCUAUCCAAGGGCCUGGGAGUGACUCUUCAAGGUCAGUCAGGGCUGCUCUGCAAUCUGAUGGGAGAAGGGUGGCCUGGAAAGGGUGGCAGCACCUUCCACACAGAACAACUGAAAUAUUCAGAAAUGGGACUCAAUGUUUUGUCCUCGUGCUUUUCUUGGAAUCAGGGGGGAGGAAAGAGCAGUAAAGAGUUAAGGCAGUAGGUCUGCAGAGCCUGAACUGGAGGCAUUCCUAAAUGUGAGCACAGCCCAAACCACCCACGGUUGCCCUUGACCUAGAGGAAUCAAGUGUUGUACUCUGAAAGAAGUAAUGCUUUUUCAAACACACUGCUUUGGAAAGAGGGCAGCAGAAAGGCGUGGUUCUUUAUUCAAUCUAUGUAGAAGCAUAUCACUUUGUUUACUUCCUUUUUCAGUUGAUUUUAUUUAUUUAUUUUUUUGAUGUGGGAAGGACAGGUCCUAGGUUUAAAUACAAUCCUCUUCCCAGAAGGUUUUCAUACCUUCUCUUCACACAUGAUUUAUAGUAUAUAACUGGAUGUAGAUAAUAGAGGGAAUGGGACUAUCAAAAUAGGAAUUGUUCAGGGUAGGAAAAGGAAAGGAGAUUUUAGAACUUGAAGAACUGAUAUUCAAGUUCUGCCAUUGUCUAACUCUUAAUCUUCCUUUGUCACACAGAACAUAGUUAAGCAGAGGUAUCUGCGCUCAUUAGUAGGGUAAUAAGUGAGCAGAGAGAAGCAGAAAAGCAAGGGAUGUGAUGGUGUGUCAGUAACUCAAGGGGUGAGCCCAAGUACUUAAUACCAUUUGCUUAGUUUCACGGAAAUUUUCUGGAGCGAAAUGGAGAAACUGGGCAGUAAGGUCUUUAGCAUCCUAAACAGUGAUACCCUGGAGCUGCCACGCUUAACCUUCGGUGGAUUAUAGACCCCUUUUUGAACUAGAUGAAAACAAUGGACCUUCUCCCCUGCCCCCCAAACACACAGACAUGCACAAUUUGUCAUGCAGUUAACAGGAAAUCCCAGACUACUGGAGCCUCUGCACAUGCCCUAGGUUAAGAGCCCUUCUCCAGAGAAGGCUUCAUAAAGCCUAUUCUGGGAUGUUUAUAAUGGUUGGUUUGUUUGAGAAAGGAUGAUGUCAUAGUUUAUAGCUUUGAAAGCUUGACAGAAAUUGAGAUUUCCUUUUGUGGAGUGGCUUUUUCAUGUUAAGCACUUGAUAAAUAUUUGUUGAGUGAUUGAAAAAGCAAAUAAGUGAAUGUUCAAUAUCUAGAUCUUAUCAUUGUAUGUAUCUGUUCCGUAUCAAAGGCUAGUUUAAAAUAAUUUGCUGUGCUUUUUGCGCCAUGAUGGUGGGACAACUCCAUGAGGUUUCCAGUUUCAUGCAUGCAUGGACUUGAUCACCAUAGAGCCUGCCCUAUCAGAACAUGAUGUUAAUGGAGGAGUUAAUGGAUAGAAACACAUGGGACAGCCAAUCCAAUGAAGAUGCAUUCACAUUUUUCAUACAGAUUUAUAAUCAGUAACACUCCCUGUGUGGUAAGCAGAAUAAUAUCCUUCCGGACAAAGAUGUCCACCAUGUCCCAAACCUGGAGGCUCUGAAUAUGUUAUCUUCAAGAGAAAAGGGACUUUGCAGAUGUGAUUAAGGUUAUGGACCUUGAGGUUAACCUAGAUAAUUCUAGAAGGUUCAAUGUAGUUACACAAGUCCCAGAAAACCUCUACGAACUGUGAUUAGAAAGAUGAUGGAAGAUGGAUCAGAGAGAUGCAGUGUUGCUGCUUUGAAAAUGGAGGAAGGGGGCCGUGAGUCAAGGAAUGUGGGUGGUCUCUAGAAUCUGAAAAAGGCAAGGAAAUGGAUUCUCCCUUGGAGCUUCCAGAAGUAAAUGUACUCCUGCUAACAUCUUGAUUUUAGCCCAGUGAGACCCACAUCAGACUUCUGACCUACAGAACUGUAAGAUAAUAAAUUUGUGUUGUUGUAAGCGGUUAAGUUUGUGACACUUUGUUUCAGCAUCAGUAGGAAACCAAUACACAUUCCAAUAAUGAGAGGUGAUAUUUCUUAAGCAUCACCUAUGUUAAACACUUUACAUGAAUUAGCUUCGUCUUCACAAAUCUUUUCAGGCAGGCGCUAAAACUAACAACGUUGAGCAGAGGAGCAAGGGGAAGCAACC